rnacentral:rRNA from 1 species
GUCUACGGCCAUGCCACCCUGAACAUGCCUGAUCUUGUCUGAUCUCGGAAGCUAAGCAGGGUUGGGCCUGGUUAGUACUUGGAUGGGAAACCACCUAGGAAUAUCAGGUGCUGUAGGUG